rnacentral:tRNA from 3 species
GCGAGAUAGCUCAGUUGGCUAGAGCAAUCGGUUCAUACCCGAUAGGUCGAGGGUUCGAAUCCCCCUCUCGC